CGUCAAGUCCGCAUGGCCCUUACGUCUGGGGCGACACACACGCUACAAUGCCGUCGACAAUGCGUCGCAAGCCGGCAACGGCAAGCUAAUCGCGAACAGGCGGCCCAGUGCAGAUCGGGGGCUGAAACUCGCCCCCGUGAAGGCGGAGUUGCUAGUAACCGCGCAUCAGCAUUGGUGCGGUGAAUACGUGCCCGGGUCUU
rnacentral:rRNA from 1 species